rnacentral:sRNA from 1 species
AGGCCCUGGGAUGUAGAGUCUACGUUUGCCACCAGCUUUCAUACUCAAGAUUCCUUCAUCAAGUCCUUU